CCUACGGGGUGCACCAGUGGGGGAUAUUGCACAAUGGGCGCAAGCCUGAUGCAGCCAUGCCGCGUGUAUGAAGAAGGCCUUCGGGUUGUAAAGUACUUUCAGCGGGGAGGAAGGUGUUGAGGUUAAUAACCUCAGCAAUUGACGUUACCCGCAGAAGAAGCACCGGCUAACUCCGUGCCAGCAGCCGCGGUAAUACGGAGGGUGCAAGCGUUAAUCGGAAUUACUGGGCGUAAAGCGCACGCAGGCGGUCUGUCAAGUCGGAUGUGAAAUCCCCGGGCUCAACCUGGGAACUGCGUUCGGAACUGGCAGGCUAGAGUCUUGUAGAGGGGGGUAGAAUUCCGGGUGUAGCGGUGAAAUGCGUAGGGAUCUGGAGGAAUACCGGUGGCGAAGGCGGCCCCCCGGACAAAGACUGACGCUCAGGUGCGAAAGCGUGGGGAGCAAACAGGAUUAGAUACCCGGGUAGUC
rnacentral:rRNA from 1 species